rnacentral:rRNA from 1 species
CGCAUCUGUGCAUGCAGCAUAUCAAUAAGCGGAGGAAAAGAAACUAACAAGGAUUCCCCUAGUAACGGCGAGUGAAGCGGGAAGAGCUCAAAUUUGAAAUCUUAAAGGGUUUCCCUUUACGAAUUGUAGUUUAAAGAAGUGUUUUCUGUUGAGGUUUUGGUAAAAGUUCUUUGGAAUAGGACAUCAUAGAGGGUGAGAAUCCCGUAUUUGACCUUUACUUUCAACUUUGUGAUACACUUUCAAAGAGUCGGAUUGUUUGGGAAUGCAGUCCAAAAUGGGUGGUAAAUUUCAUCUAAAGCUAAAUAUUGGCGAGAGACCGAUAGCGAACAAGUACCGUGAGGGAAAGAUGAAAAGAACUUUGAAAAGGGAGUUAAACAGUACGUGAAAUUGUCAAAAGGGAAGCGUUCGACACCAGUGUUGUUUUUCUGAAAAUCAAUUAAAGAACUGUUUAUGCUAAGUUGUUUAGACUUUAUCAGCUAUCUGUUUAGUUUUGAGCUUUUCUUUAAUGCACUUUUCAGUUAACAAGUCAACAUCAAUUUCUUUUGCUGUAAAAAAGCUUGAGGAAGGUGGCUUGAGAUUCGUCUUAAGUGUUUAUAGCCUCUUGCCUAUGCAGUCGGAGAGAUUGAGGUCUGCAGCGUAGAUCCUUCGGGGCUAAAUGCAUUUGUGCUAAGUUAUAACAUUUUAUAGACAACUUGUUGACUAUGAUUUGUCUUGUAGCUUACUCGCUUAUGUUAUUUUACCUACGCUUAGGAUGUUGAACGCGCACAGAGUCU